rnacentral:rRNA from 1 species
AGUGAACGCUGGCGGUAGGCCUAACACAUGCAAGUCGAACGGCAGCACAGUAAGAGCUUGCUCUUACGGGUGGCGAGUGGCGGACGGGUGAGGAAUACAUCGGAAUCUACUUUUUCGUGGGGGAUAACGUAGGGAAACUUACGCUAAUACCGCAUACGACCUACGGGUGAAAGCAGGGGAUCUUCGGACCUUGCGCGAUUGAAUGAGCCGAUGUCGGAUUAGCUAGUUGGCGGGGUAAAGGCCCACCAAGGCGACGAUCCGUAGCUGGUCUGAGAGGAUGGUCAGCGACACAGGAAGUGAGAGACGGGACAGGGACCGAGGGGAGGCAGCGGUGGGGAAGGGUGGACGAUGGGCGGAAGCCUGAUCCAGGCAUGCCGGGUGGGUGAAGAAGGGCUGCGGGUUGUAAAGCCGUUUUGUUGGGAAGGAAAGCAGCAGGUUAAGACCCCGCGGUUCUGACGGUACCGAAAGAAUAAGCACCGGCUAACUUCGUG